rnacentral:rRNA from 1 species
GACGAACGCUGGCGGCGUGCUUAACACAUGCAAGUCGAACGGAAAGGCCCUGCUUUUGUGGGGUGCUCGAGUGGCGAACGGGUGAGUAACACGUGAGUAACCUGCCCUUGACUUUGGGAUAACUUCAGGAAACUGGGGUUAAUAUCGGAUAGGAGCCCCUGCUGCAUGGUGGGGGUUGGAAAGUUUCGGCGGUUGGGGAUGGACUCGCGGCUUAUCAGCUUGUUGGUGGGGUAGUGGCUUACCAAGGCUUUGACGGGUAGCCGGCAUGAGAGGGUGACCGGCCACAUUGGGACUGAGAUACGGCCCAGACUCCUACGGUGGGCAGCAGUGGGGAAUAUUGCACAAUGGGCGGAAGCCUGAUGCAGCAACGCCGCGUGCGGGAUGACGGCCUUCGGGUUGUAAACCGCUUUCGCCUGUGACGAAGCGUGAGUGACGGUAAUGGGUAAAGAAGCACCGGCUAACUACGUG